AUUGAACGCUGGCGGCAGGCCUAACACAUGCAAGUCGAGCGGAUGAGAGGAGCUUGCUUCUCGAUUCAGCGGCGGACGGGUGAGUAAUGCCUAGGAAUCUGCCUGGUAGUGGGGGACAACGUUUCGAAAGGAACGCUAAUACCGCAUACGUCCUACGGGAGAAAGCAGGGGACCUUCGGGACUUGCGCUAUCAGAUGAGCCUAGGUCGGAUUAGCUAGUUGGUGAGGUAAUGGCUAACCAAGGCGACGAUCCGUAACUGGUCUGAGAGGAUGAUCAGUCACACUGGAACUGAGACACGGUCCAGACUCCUACGGGAGGCAGCAGUGGGGAAUAUUGGACAAUGGGCGAAAGCCUGAUCCAGCCAUGCCGCGUGUGCGAAGAAGGUCUUCGGAUUGUAAAGCACUUUAAGUUGGGAGGAAGGGUUGUAGAUUAAUACUCUGCAAUUUUGACGUUACCGACAGAAUAAGCACCGGCUAACUCUGUGCCAGCCGCCGCAGUAACAC
rnacentral:rRNA from 1 species